UGAGGAAUAUUGGUCAAUGGGCGCUAGCCUGAACCAGCCAAGUAGCGUGAAGGAUGAAGGCUCUAUGGGUCGUAAACUUCUUUUAUAUAAGAAUAAAGUGCAGUAUGUAUACUGUUUUGUAUGUAUUAUAUGAAUAAGGAUCGGCUAACUCCGUGCCAGCAGCCGCGGUAAUACGGAGGAUCCGAGCGUUAUCCGGAUUUAUUGGGUUUAAAGGGAGCGUAGGUGGACAGUUAAGUCAGUUGUGAAAGUUUGCGGCUCAACCGUAAAAUUGCAGUUGAUACUGGCUGUCUUGAGUACAGUAGAGGUGGGCGGAAUUCGUGGUGUAGCGGUGAAAUGCUUAGAUAUCACGAAGAACUCCGAUUGCGAAGGCAGCUCACUGGACUGCAACUGACACUGAUGCUCGAAAGUGUGGGUAUCAAACAGGAUUAGAUACCCUGGUAGUCCACACAGUAAACGAUGAAUACUCGCUGUUUGCGAUAUACAGUAAGCGGCCAAGCGAAAGCGUUAAGUAUUCCACCUGGGGAGUACGCCGGCAACGGUGAAACUCAAAGGAAUUGACGGGGGCCCGCACAAGCGGAGGAACAUGUGGUUUAAUUCGAUGAUACGCGAGGAACCUUACCCGGGCUUAAAUUGCAUUUGAAUAAUCAAGAAAUUGGUUAGUCGUAAGACAAAUGUGAAGGUGCUGCAUGGUUGUCGUCAGCUCGUGCCGUGAGGUGUCGGCUUAAGUGCCAUAACGAGCGCAACCCUUAUCUUCAGUUACUAACAGGUCAUGCUGAGGACUCUGGAGAGACUGCCGUCGUAAGAUGUGAGGAAGGUGGGGAUGACGUCAAAUCAGCACGGCCCUUACGUCCGGGGCUACACACGUGUUACAAUGGGGGGUACAGAAGGCAGCUACACGGCGACGUGAUGCCAAUCCCGAAAACCUCUCUCAGUUCGGAUCGAAGUCUGCAACCCGACUUCGUGAAGCUGGAUUCGCUAGUAAUCGCGCAUCAGCCAUGGCGCGGUGAAUACGUUCCC
rnacentral:rRNA from 1 species